rnacentral:lncRNA from 1 species
GGCUCUAGGAAAGUAUUCAUAAGUAUCAAAACAAGGAUAAAAGUUUUGGAAGCCACAACAGGGUUUAACUAAAUUGUCGCGAUGCGAUGCAAAUGAUUCAGUAACAGCUUCCCCUCCUGGGCAUCCACUCUUCCGCCGUAUUAACAAUGUUGGCGCUGGUUUAACUCAAAAUCACUAUACAUAUUUUAACACGGGCGUAACCGCAAGAAAAUUGCCUAUUACGUAUACAUAUAAAACGAUAUGUAUAUAACUGUAUUUACCACGGACAAGGGUAUAAAAUCAUCAACUAAACGCCAGCUAUGCUGCGUAAAAGGAAUGAAGGGCUUCUUCAUGAUUCUAUAUAACAAGUGUUGGAAAGAGGGUAGCCUCAGGCAAAAGCUGAACGUUGCAGAGGCAUAUUCGAUAGAUAAAUCAAAAGACGUGGAACGAGUCGAGUUGUCGCUUCAAGAGAUAGUCUGCACAGCUUUACGUACUCCGGCACAAGAGCCCGCAGGAAGCGUGUGCUUUGCUAACGAUGACAAACGACGGCCACUUCGUCGUGCAAGGCGGAGACGAUAUUUAUGCUAAUCCAGUCUCUCUCGUGCGACAAUAACCGACAAGAAAACAGAGAAAGAAAGAGAGUCAUAUAAGUUUACUUAUAUUUCUCGGUUAUGUUGGUCGUAGCUGAUAUGAGAGAGUGCUAUGCCGCACCUACUGGUUUACUACUACUGAAUAGUACUGUACAACUCAACUAUACUAGUGCACGGUAAGCUGGCACAGCUCUAUUUCCCCCUUGCCAAGAAUAUGGAUCGGUUCUAUAACAAUAUUGCCGUACGCGCCUUGGCUACAUCAAUAUGAUAUACAUAUAUAUUCCAUUGUUUCCAAGUUUUCGGGAUCCAUUUGUAAGAUUAAAUUUGUAAUGCCGAGUUACUCCGGCUGUUGUGUGCUGGCAUGAGACAACGUGUCCCCGGCAGUUGCAUAUGGCUGCUUGGUCAAUUUUCUACCCAGCGUUAUAAUAAAUAUAUGUGUGGUCACUAAGAGCUUUCACCAGACACUUUUGAAUAAUUAUCUCGGUUCUCCAUAUGUCUUGUGUUUAAAAAGAGAAUUAUAAAAGGGACCAUUUCGUAGAAGAGCUUCCGGUCCCAUGGACGCCACAUUUGUCGAUAACACACAGGGUGUAUAAAAUAAGCACAUCGUACGUCUAGGGACCAAAUCCGAUACAGUUUACACCCGUUCGACCGCGUAUAGUUUCUUUGAAUCUUAACGGUACGCUGUACCCUUUUGAUAUGAGAAAUGAGUACGAAAGAGACAAGAGAGGAUACAGAAGAGCAAGCAACCGUAUACGUACCAAAAGGUAUACGUAAUAGCCAAUAGAACCAUGAGCACAAGCCCGCAAAACGGCACGAAGAAGAUGGAGAAUGGUCAGAAAUUAAUAUCUGCUUUGGACGUAAUCGGAUUGUCGGUGAUUUAACGGUUCGUGAGAGAACUGUCGUCGGAGUAUAUAAGAGUUUUUAUUUGUGAUUUCUUCUCCUUUAACCGAGGUCUUGUGACGGUCUAUUGCUGAAUAGAGAACGACGACGAGACCUUACGUCGUCACUUGGCGGCUCCGUGGACCAUAGACCCACCAGUACUUCUUUUGAC